rnacentral:rRNA from 1 species
GAUGAACGCUGGCGGCGUGCCUAAUACAUGCAAGUCGAGCGAACAGACGAUGAGCUUGCUCCUCUGACGUUAGCGGCGGACGGGUGAGUAACACGUGGAUAACCUACCUAUAAGACUGGGAUAACUUCGUGAAACCGGAGCUAAUACCGGAUAAUAUAUUGAACCGCAUGGUUCAAUAGUGAAAGACGGUUUUGCUGUCACUUAUAGAUGGAUCCGCGCCGCAUUAGCUAGUUGGUAAGGUAACGGCUUACCAAGGCGACGAUGCGUAGCCGACCUGAGAGGGUGAUCGGCCACACUGGAACUGAGACACGGUCCAGACUCCUACGGGAGGCAGCAGUAGGGAAUAUUCCGCAAUGGGCGAAAGCCUGACGGAGCAACGCCGCGUGGGUGAUGAAGGUCUUCGGAUCGUAAAACUCUGUUAUUGGGAAAGAACAAAUGUGUAAGUAAAUAUGCACGUCUUGACGGUACCUAAUCAGAAAGCCACGGCUAACUACGUG